rnacentral:rRNA from 1 species
UGGGGAAUUUUGGACAAUGGGCGAAAGCCUGAUCCAGCAAUGCCGCGUGUGUGAAGAAGGCCUUCGGGUUGUAAAGCACUUUUGUCCGGAAAGAAAUCCUUGGCUCUAAUACAGUCGGGGGAUGACGGUACCGGAAGAAUAAGCACCGGCUAACUACGUGCCAGCAGCCGCGGUAAUACGUAGGGUGCAAGCGUUAAUCGGAAUUACUGGGCGUAAAGCGUGCGCAGGCGGUUUGCUAAGACCGAUGUGAAAUCCCCGGGCUCAACCUGGGAACUGCAUUGGUGACUGGCAGGCUAGAGUAUGGCAGAGGGGGGUAAAUUCCACGUGUAGCAGUGAAAUGCGUAGAGAUGUGGAGGAAUACCGAUGGCGAAGGCAGCCCCCUGGGCCAAUACUGACGCUCAUGCACGAAAGCGUGGGGAGCAAACAGGAUUAGAUACCCUGGUAGUCCACGCCCUAAACGAUGUCAACUAGUUGUUGGGGAUUCAUUUCCUUAGUAACGUAGCUAACGCGUGAAGUUGACCGCCUGGGGAGUACGGUCGCAAGAUUAAAACUUAAAUGAAUUGAC